AAUCUUCAGUUUCCGAAGAGUAGAAAUGCCACUCAAACCAUCUGGAAGCAUCUUCAGACUGGAACAAUCAUUGAUCUCCAAUUCAUAGAGAAGGGGCAUGGCUCCUGCCUCCACUCUCCACUCUCUCAGGUUCGGUAAUUUAGAUAGCUCAAGAACCUUGAGGCGAGGAAAACUGUCUGAUGGACACGUCAUCUCCUCCCCCACAAAUGAUUUUGUCCAUAAAUACAAAUAUAUCAAGCAAGGAAGCUUCCCCAGUAUCCCCAUUGGAUCACCCUCAAUCUCACAUUCUAACAGCCCCAAACUUAUAAAUUUUGAACUGAUGAAGCCACUCCCGCACUCUGCCAGCGCCUUCCCUAACUUAACUUCAAUCCACAAGGAAUGAAGAUUGGGACAUGUGAUUACCUUCUUCAGCGUUAACACUCCCUUAUUUGUUCCUAACUCGCAACCCUUGUUGAUUUCAACCCAACAAUGCAGUAACUUUUCCAUGAGAGCAAUGACGUCGAUGAUGGUUGACAAGCUUUCGUUGUCAUAUAUUUUUGUUGAGAAACUUCGCAGAUUCUUCAUUCUGUUCAUACAUUUUAAGUCAUGCACUCUACUAUCCAACCACCAUAGGGUCUCCAACUCAACCACUCCCUCGUCCAAUGUUAAUCGAUAACUUCCAAUUUUUUCCUCCUCAUAUUCCGGAAGAAACAAGUGCUUUAAACGUACGAUCUCCUUAAAAACAUUUGGGACUUCAAUAUUCAUCGAAUCACUUAAAUCAAGGGUAUUCAUGUAUACCAAAUUCCUUAUGGACGACGGUAGCGUAUCAAAUUCGCAUCUUUCUAAACACAAACGUCUAAGGUGAACAAGACUAGUGAUUCCUUUCGAUAACUUUCUUCCUUCAAAUUUAAAUCCCACCAUAGAUAGAUCUCUCAGCAAUUUGAAUUUCUGAAAAUCAACAAUACCUUGCGGGGGAAACUCAACAACACCCGAAUUUAUGUGAUUGAACAUUUGAAGAGACCUUAAAUGUUCGCUACUAUCUUCUCCCCAAGUGAGUGUAAGCUCGUCAGGUUCCACUUGAACUUCCUUCCUGAAAUGUAUAGCCAAAUGCCGUAUUUUCCUAUGCGAGGAAGCUUGCCGUAAUUUCCCACUUUGAUACUCCAAACUCUGCACACCAAAAUCCUCACUUCUCCCCAAUUUCAAACAUAGUUCUCUUACUACAUCAUGAAGUUUGCAGCUCCAAUAUUUUCUUCCAGGUGCGACACCAUCGUAAAUUUUGACUUGGACGAUGGACCUGGAGGCCAACUCACCCAAGUAGAGCUCUGCAAUUUCCCUCAAAGUUUUGUCAUUGUCUCCAAUAUUCUCAUAUGAAAUCAUGCCUUGUGCUAUCCACAUCAUAUAUAGAUCGUAAGCAUAUAUAUUUUCAUCCUCUUGAAAUAUACCCAUAUAGAGAAAGCAUGACUUCAAAUAAUAGGGUAGACUUUCAUAGCUUAAAUUUAGCACUCCAUCAAUCUCCUUUUCGUCUCUAUAUAUGAAUUCUUUGACUAACUUCCACUCCAUCAUCGAAUUUGUCUUUCUCAAGACCCCACCGAGUAAACAAAUUGCCAACGGCAAAUACCCACAUUUCUUCACCAUUUCUUUCCCAAUUUUCUCAACAUCUUCUUUCAAUGCAAACUCUGCAUUGAAAAACAAAUGACAAUUACUUGAAUAGUAACUUUAUAACUUAAUCAUAUCCUCUCAUCUAAUUUGGAACCGAUGAUGCAAAAAAGAAACUACAAGCAGGUAAAUCUAGAAUAUUAUUUGUAGACUAGUGCUGACUAAUGCAAACCCAUGCGCAAAGAUCAAAGCUGGACUUGGUCUCGUUGUAGAGCUUUUUGGCAAUGGUGGUCUUGCCUGAACCCCCCAUUCCCCACACUGAUAUAACUCUAUCAUCGUUGUCUUGCCUUAGGAGAUUACCAAGCUGCUUCAGCUCAUCCUUCAUCCCCAUGAAACAGUCUCCGAUCUCGAAUUCAGGGAAACUCUUCCUUGCUCUGUUGUUGUCGGCGGCAGCCGAGGUUUCCCCGCUAUCGAUGAUCUUAUUUAUUCCGUAGGCUCGCAUGGCUUCGGUGACUCUUCCAAGAUCGGAUUUGAUUUUUGAAAUCUGGGAGCCUAGUUGAUGGAGCGAGUUGAAUUCUUCCAAAAUACAAGAAUAUCUGCAGAUGAGCUGUCUCAGGCCUCGGCCUCGUCUUCUCCUUGCCAACACUUGAUAAGCUGCGUGUCUUUCAAUGGCAGCUUCCGCUUCGCACACAAGAUCUCUGAUCUCCGAGAUCAAGUUGAAUAAGGUUUCGCUUUCAUGUCGUCUUCUGUCGGCAUCUUUGAGGAGACACUUCAUCUCUUUGAGCUGCUUCACGAGCUCCCUCACUUCGUCACCCACACCAGAUAAAAAUUUUACUUCUUCCUUCAACAAAUCGCGCAAGGUUUCUAGAGCCAUCGACACCACUGCUUCCUUCAGUAAUUGAUUGGUAGCCGUUUCUAUAAACCCCUCCUCCAACCGGACCACCGCAUCUGUUGGCCAGCCACCUCCGUCCACCGACUUCGACCCAGCUACCACCGUCCACUACCGCCGACUACACUCCAAAAAUCCCCCAUUCCAGUCGCUGCCGACAUCCAUCAGCCAGCCACCACCGGUCACCGCUGUCGACCCCACCCAAUUUUAAGGUUUGCCUCUCACUUCUUUGAGAUUUUUUUUUUCGAAUUUUUGAAGUAAAUUUCAGUUUGUAGGUUUAGUUAGUGGCUGAAUUUUUCCUUUCCUUUGAAUUACAUUCAAUUGAACCAUAUAUAUCAGCUUUUCAUGAUUAGUUUGACCCAAUGCAAUCAACAGGAUUAAAAAGUAAAAGAAAAAAAAACAAGAAGGUGCUCAGGAUAAGAGUUUUGGCUUAACUAUAGUUGUAUUGCGUAUGGAUAUGAUCAAUAAACUAAUAAGUAUUUUAUUUUUCUUUAUUAAUUUUAGAACUCCAACAUUUAAGAUUUGAAUGAGCUAUGGUCUCGACUUCUCAAAAAUUAUUUGUUGACGUUGGAAAGGAAGCUUGAUUCCAAGAAAUGCCAGAGCUUCCCACUACAGAAUAUUGCUGGCUGUUAUUGAGGAAGAUAUAAAUGCAGUCAUUCGAGCGAUAUUUAAUUGUAAGCAAAGAAAGGUUGGAAUGCUUGCAGGGGAAACCAAUUGUAUGCAGAGGUGUCUAGCUAGGAAGAGAUGCUUUGAUUACUUCAACAAACUUUUAAAAAUUCAAGUGAUAGAAAGAGAGGGAGAGAGAGAGGGAGAUGCUUUGAGCAUAAGCUUCUGCCUUUUUCUAUUUUUGUUAUCCCCAUAAGAUACUCAAAUAGGGACAGGUCCAAAAUCUGUAGUCACAAUCUUUUAUAUUCCCAUGCAAAUAUAUAAGAAAUUUUUUAAAGAUAGUUAAAAUGCAGGAAUUGUCACUUUUGUUGUGCAGUUGCAGCCUUGGUUUGAGUCUUUAUAGGUUUAAAGACUAGAAAAAGAAUAGUGUUUGCUCACGUGGAUUUUGUGUUGGAUUGUUUGUUAGAUUCUUUGUGAACAUGUAAGUUUAUGCUGCUUGCUGGUUAGAUCAUAAUGAAGGAAUAAAGCAGCUGUAAAAAGGCAUGUAGCCUAGUUUAAAUUCUUAAUAAAUGAUAAUCUCAAAAUUUUAUAGGUAGUUUUAAAAAUAAAGCAUGUUAUGUUAUAUGUAUCCCACCCCACCCCCAGAACCUCCAAAAGAAGACCCAAAGAAUAGUAGUAAACAUUUGAAGAUUGUCUAUUGAAAAAGUAAAUAUUUGAAGCGAAUUUAAAUAGUGGAAUAAUGCUACUAUUAAAAACUAAAAUUUGCAAAAUUUAGGCCUUGUUUUAUAAUCUAAUUUAUAUAUUGGUUUUUUUUUGUUUUUUCUCUCUAAACGUUAACAAGUAUAGAAUUUCAAAGUGUUCUCUAUUACACUGAUGAAUAGUUAUAAGUGCAAUAUUCCAUAUGACAAUUUGUAUCGAUGCAUUGAUAGUUCAGUAAUGUCCACUGUUACUAUAAUGAAUAGGUGAUGGUGUUUUGUUAAAUUCUGAGAGGAAUUUCAGAAGUGUUUGUCCAUCCACUUGGAAGAGAAUCGACACGAAAGAGAUAUUAUGAUCCUCUUCUGUUAUGUUAAUAAAUACAGGCAACAUAAAGCUUUGGUCGAACGUCAAAAUCCAAGUCUUCCUAAAAUGAAUAUUGAGCGGAUACAUAGUAAAACAUUUUCUGAUUGGUUUUAUAACCAUGUAAGUUAGUUUGGAUAAAUUUUUAUAUGUAUUAUUUACUUAUAAUUAUAUUCAACAACAUACCUUUUUCAUUAUAUUUUUAUUUUUAUUUUUAUUCUACACAGAUUGAAGGCUUACAUCAUUCUGGGAACCACGUACCUGAAGAACUUAGGGCAUUAGCUAGAGGGUACCUGAAGAACUUAGGGCAUUAGCUAGAGGUCCAAAUUCUGUGGGUAAACGAUAUAGGGGAUUCAUAAUUAAUGGAUUUAGGUUCCAUGUGAAAGAAUAUGAGACACGGAGAAGAGCUCAAAAUAGUGGUCUUGUAGUUACUGCACAAACUAGUAGUUUUGCUAGUAGAAGUGACAAUAAUCCCAUUGUCGGUGAUGUGACAUACUAUGGGGUAUUGAAAGACAUACUUGAACUUGAAUAUUUUAUGGGUAGAAAAAUAGUGGUGUUCGAUUGUGAUUGGGUGUCCACAAGAUCAGCACAAAAAAAAAAGAUGAGUAUGGCUUCACGCUAGUUAAUUUUGCUCGAUUAACUCAACAUGAUGAACCAUAUUAUAUUGGCCUCACAAGCAGAACAAGUUUUCUAGUUGAAAAAGGGUGGCAUGUUGUUGUAAAGACAAAGGCGAGAGAUGUUUGAUAUGGAUCCUAUUUUGGGCUACUUUCAUGUCGCCUUUUGUCGGCAUCUUUGAGGAGACACUUCAUCUCCUUGAGCUGCUUCACGAGCUCCCUCACUUCGUCACCCACACCAGAUAAAAAUUUUACUUCUUCCUUCAACAAAUCGCGCAAGGUUUCUAGAGCCAUCGACACCACUGCUUCUGCCAUUGCAACAAUUUGAGGGAAUCCAAGCUCAGAUUUCUUUGGCUUAAUUGAUUGGUGGAACAGUGUUGAUUUGGUA
rnacentral:lncRNA from 1 species